CACACACUACACAUGCACAAGAAAAAUCCAGAGAUUAAGUAGGAAUCCAUAGUAUUAAAAACAUUCUGACCUGUUGUGGUCUCCACAAGUCCUCUGCAACAGAAAAACUGCUCUGUUAUUUUUCUGUGGUCAAGAAUUGAGUGAAAAUUAAGAGCAGACAUUUUCUGAAGUGUGCCUUGAGUCUAAAAAGGUCAAGAACCACUGAUCUACAUGGUUUAAGGUUGUAAAUUAAAAACACAUGAUAGAUUGCUUUGGAGCUAUUUGUACUUUUGAGCCAUGUUAACUGAACAUAGUAAAGCAAGGUUACAUUUACAAAGCACCUUUCAUACUGCAGGGUGGCUUUACGAGCUUUAGGCACAGUCCUGAAAGCCUAGCUCAUAUGAACAGUCUCCAAGGGAAGCCAAGAGGACCAUUUGUGGAAUGGUCAAACUCUUUUGUACAUAUAGGAUAUUCAGCAACCUCUUGGUUAAAACAUCAGCUAGCAAGUGUCCUGUACACAACAAAGAUGCAGAAGGAGUAUGCAAAUGAAUAACUUGGUCAAAAUUUUCUCUAACUCUGACCCUACUAUUCAUAUUUAACAUAAGGUUAAAAUACCACAACAUCCAGAACUCUGCCACUCAUCUGGUCCCGAGUCAUACGUCAGACAAGAUAAAUCUUUCCAAAUCUAAUCCCUUCACCACCUGCAUUUAUAACUCUAUGCAACACUGGAUUCACUGCCACUGGAGUUCUCCCCAGUAACCAGACUGACUAUUUCUUAACCACAAAUUAUGUGUA